AGCAUCGCCUGCUUCUCACAGCUCUCGUCUUCCUCCGAUAUCUCACUAUCUUGCAUCCCCUCGAGAUUAACAUUCUGGAGCCCCAUUCUUUCUCCUCUUAAGCAUCUGGAAGACGAGCCAGACCUGUAAUUGCUGUGAAUAUGACUGCUGACACUGGUAGCAGCUCUUGAACAUAAUAAUGAAGUCAAAGGAGAGAGUCCUGAAUUGAUUAAAUAUACUGGCAGCAACUUUGAAGGGCCUUCAUUGUUUCGCGAUCUUGCAGGGCCCUUUGUGAAAGCCGCAGCUGCAGCCUCCCCAAUGGCCAUGGUUACUGCAGACUGUACUGUGCAGCACAUGCGUAGUUGCUUCUUGUAAUAAGCUUCUCGUGUAUUACUUCACAAUGGAGUAUAUGAGAUCAUUGUACUUUGUUCCUUUUUUUAAGAUGGAUCAUUGAAAAAUCAAACCAAAACA